CAGCCCAUGCGCUUCUGAUUUUUUUAUUUGCAAAAUAGAACAUGUUGCCCGCGGCCCGCGUUUUUGCCUUUCAUCCCGCUCAGUGCACACCAUCUGCUCCAUUCAUCAGUUGCAAUCCCAUCAGUUGCGUCUCGCCAUUCUUAUCUCAUACUCACUACAAUUCUAUUUUCGUCUCCCUUACACCGUUCCUUGCAUCUUCAACGAUCUUGCUAGGCUUGGUUGAGCUGAAGUGUCAGCCGUUACUCCUAUCUGUAGCAUAAUACAUCCGGAUUGGCACCUCUUCGGGAUCUCCAGGCUCCAGCAGCGCCGUCGUAUACGUAAGUAUACAAUCUGUACGUAGACAAGCCUGCCCUGUACAAGACACGUUCUUCGUGUGGAAGGCCAACCCGUAGGAGGAAACCACAUUGUUGACAUUGCAGAGCGAAAUAAUCACCAUUUGGUUCAGCUAAGUGGUGCAGUACCAAUGGAUCCUUCUCAACGCAAACGUUGCCGUGACCGAGCUAGGUACAUGAAGAUGACACCACAUCAGAGAGAAAUUUAUUUGCAGAGGAAUCGGGAGUACAAACGAAUGAAGCGAGGUGACAGUGCAAGCAGUGGCAAUAACAAUGCACGGUCCAUAACAGAGGAUACCAGUACGAGUGCCAAUGGCAAUAUCCACUUGCCAAAUGAAUCUUCUACAAUGACAGAAGGAAAAGAAAUAGCAGUCACUUCGUUACAGGAACCAUCUUCAAGCUCUAAGAUA